rnacentral:rRNA from 1 species
CAGUCGCCACGGUAAUACGGAGGGUGCAAGCGUUAAUCGGAAUUACUGGGCGUAAAGCGCACGCAGGCGGUCUGACAAGUCAGAUGUGAAAUCCCCGGGCUUAACCUGGGAACUGCAUUUGAAACUGUCAGGCUGGAGUCUUGUAGAGGGGGGUGGAAUUCCAGGUGUAGCGGUGAAAUGCGUAGAGAUCUGGAGGAAUACCGGUGGCGAAGGCGGCCCCCUGGACAAAGACUGACGCUCAGGUGCGAAAGCGUGGGGAGCAAACAGGAUUAGAUACCCCAGUAGUCCUGUCUCUUAUACA